rnacentral:rRNA from 1 species
AUUGAACGCUGGCGGCAGGCUUAACACAUGCAAGUCGAGCGGAGAGAGGUAGCUUGCUACUGAUCUUAGCGGCGGACGGGUGAGUAAUGCUUAGGAAUCUGCCUAUUAGUGGGGGACAACAUUUCGAAAGGAAUGCUAAUACCGCAUACGUCCUACGGGAGAAAGCAGGGGAUCUUCGGACCUUGCGCUAAUAGAUGAGCCUAAGUCGGAUUAGCUAGUUGGUGGGGUAAAGGCCUACCAAGGCGACGAUCUGUAGCGGGUCUGAGAGGAUGAUCCGCCACACUGGGACUGAGACACGGCCCAGACUCCUACGGGAGGCAGCAGUGGGGAAUAUUGGACAAUGGGCGCAAGCCUGAUCCAGCCAUGCCGCGUGUGUGAAGAAGGCCUUAUGGUUGUAAAGCACUUUAAGCGAGGAGGAGGCUACUUUAGUUAAUACCUAGAGAUAGUGGACGUUACUCGCAGAAUAAGCACCGGCUAACUCUGUGCCAGCAGCCGCGGUAAUACAGAGGGUGCAAGCGUUAAUCGGAUUUACUGGGCGUAAAGCGCGCGUAGGCGGCUAAUUAAGUCAAAUGUGAAAUCCCCGAGCUUAACUUGGGAAUUGCAUUCGAUACUGGUUAGCUAGAGUGUGGGAGAGGAUGGUAGAAUUCCAGGUGUAGCGGUGAGAUGCGUAGAGAUCUGGAGGAAUACCGAUGGCGAAGGCAGCCAUCUGGCCUAACACUGACGCUGAGGUGCGAAAGCAUGGGGAGCAAACAGGAUUAGAUACCCUGGUAGUCCAUGCCGUAAACGAUGUCUACUAGCCGUUGGGGCCUUUGAGGCUUUAGUGGCGCAGCUAACGCGAUAAGUAGACCGCCUGGGGAGUACGGUCGCAAGACUAAAACUCAAAUGAAUUGACGGGGGCCCGCACAAGCGGUGGAGCAUGUGGUUUAAUUCGAUGCAACGCGAAGAACCUUACCUGGCCUUGACAUAGUAAGAACUUUCCAGAGAUGGAUUGGUGCCUUCGGGAACUUACAUACAGGUGCUGCAUGGCUGUCGUCAGCUCGUGUCGUGAGAUGUUGGGUUAAGUCCCGCAACGAGCGCAACCCUUUUCCUUAUUUGCCAGCGAGUAAUGUCGGGAACUUUAAGGAUACUGCCAGUGACAAACUGGAGGAAGGCGGGGACGACGUCAAGUCAUCAUGGCCCUUACGGCCAGGGCUACACACGUGCUACAAUGGUCGGUACAAAGGGUUGCUACCUAGCGAUAGGAUGCUAAUCUCAAAAAGCCGAUCGUAGUCCGGAUUGGAGUCUGCAACUCGACUCCAUGAAGUCGGAAUCGCUAGUAAUCGCGGAUCAGAAUGUCGCGGUGAAUACGUUCCCGGGCCU